GAGCUUAAGCGAAUAAUUCGUGUCAAUUUACAUAUAGUUUGGUAUCAGUGUCUGUCCGUCGGAUACGGGAAUUGAAAAAUGAAAACUGUCAAUUCUCGAAAUCGAUUGAGAUUGAAUGAGAUUUGUUAUUUUAAUACCUUUCGAGUGCAGAGUGCACUGGCUCGUUUCUUAUAUUAAUUUUAGUUUAAUUAGUUUCUUGUUGUUUGGUCCAAGCUGAAGUCUUUUUUGAUGAAAGCGUGCAGUUUUACGGCGUUAAAGAGAACGGCAACAUCCUGUUUUCAACACUGAACACUUUGACUUGAGGAGUUGAUGUUGAAGCAUAAAAAUAUAACAUACCAUAACUCAAAAUGUCCGGGAGGAAAUAUUUAUGUGGAAAUCAAAAAAGGAAAUUAAAAAAACGAAAGGUUACAGAAUCAUCAAAAUUCCCUAAAAUAACCAGAUCUUUCCAAUCAAAAUUAGUCGAAGUCGAAGAUUUAUAUCCAGAAUCUAAAAUCAAGACCUAUAAGGAUCAUAUUUAACAUAUUUUUUUGUAACCGGUUUUCCAAUAAAUCCAUGAAAAACGGCCAAACAGUUAUAAAUAACGGAUGCAA